GACGUAGGGCGCGAGCGUUGUCCGGAUUUAUUGGGCGUAAAGAGCUCGUAGGCGGCUUGUCGCGUCGUUCGUGAAAACCCACGGCUCAACUGUGGGCUUGCGGUCGAUACGGGCAGGCUGGAGUUCGGUAGGGGAGACUGGAAUUCCUGGUGUAGCGGUGAAAUGCGCAGAUAUCAGGAGGAACACCGGUGGCGAAGGCGGGUCUCUGGGCCGAUACUGACGCUGAGGAGCGAAAGCCAGGGGAGCAAACGGG
rnacentral:rRNA from 1 species